UAGGGAAUCUUCGGCAAUGGGGGGAACCCUGACCGAGCAACGCCGCGUGAGUGAAGAAGGUUUUCGGAUCGUAAAGCUCUGUUGUUAAGGAAGAACGAGUGUGAGAAUGGAAAGUUCAUGCUGUGACGGUACUUAACCAGAAAGGGACGGCUAACUACGUGCCAGCAGCCGCGGUAAUACGUAGGUCCCGAGCGUUGUCCGGAUUUAUUGGGCGUAAAGCGAGCGCAGGCGGUCAAUUAAGUCUGAUGUGAAAGCCCCCGGCUCAACCGGGGAGGGUCAUUGGAGACUGGUUGACUUGAGUGCAGAAGAGGAGAGUGGAAUUCCAUGUGUAGCGGUGAAAUGCGUAGAUAUAUGGAGAAACACCAGUGGCGAAGGCGACUCUCUGGUCUGUAACUGACGCGGAGGCUCGAAAGCGUGGGUAGCAAACAGG
rnacentral:rRNA from 1 species